rnacentral:lncRNA from 1 species
CAACAGAGCAUCGGUCAUUUCAAUAUUCUGAUUGCAUAGUUACCUUCAUUGGGAAUUCUGAUCACAACAAAUCCACAUCAUCUGCUGAUGUUUCCUAACCCUGCAGAGGAUGCUGAGAUGAGGGGCAGUGAGGCAUUGAAAUACAGAAGUACAGCAGGAGCAGGAGAAGAGGGCUCCAAAGGUUCUUCAGACACACAGCUUCUUGCUACUGCUAUGAAGAAACACUCAAGCAGGAGCAAGUGCGCAGUUCUUUCCUUUUUGGGAGCACUCCUGUACUGAGGUGCAUAGGAUAUCAACCACCAAGGAUGGAACACCAUCUUUCCAUAUGGCACCUGACACAGCCAGGAGUCUCACAGGGCAUCUGCACUGUAGGAACCACAGGAAUCAAUUCUCAUCUUAAAGUAGAACUAAAAAAAAUGUACUUUUUAAUU